rnacentral:rRNA from 1 species
UACGUAGGCAGCGAGCGUUGUUCGGAGUUACUGGGCGUAAAGAGUGCGUAGGCGGUUUUCUAAGUUUGGUGUGAAAUCUCCCGGCUUAACUGGGAGGGUGCGCCGAAAACUGGAAGGCUUGAGUAUGGGAGAGGUAAGCGGAAUUCCUGGUGUAGCGGUGAAAUGCGUAGAUAUCGGGAGGAACACCAGUGGCGAAGGCGGCAUCCUGGCCAUGUACUGACGCUCAGGGGCGAAAGCGUGGGGAGCAAACCGG